rnacentral:rRNA from 1 species
GUAGGGAAUUUUCGGCAAUGGGGGAAACCCUGACCGAGCAACGCCGCGUGAGUGAAGAAGGUCUUCGGAUUGUAAAGCUCUGUUGUAAGGGAAGAAAUGUACUGUGAGAAACAGUACUUGACGGUACCUUACCAGAAAGCUACGGCUAACUACGUGCCAGCAGCCGCGGUAAUACGUAGGUAGCGAGCGUUAUCCGGAAUUAUUGGGCGUAAAGGGUGCGUAGGCGGCCAUUUAAGUUCAUGGUGAAAGCGUGGGGCUCAACCCCAUAAAGCCAUGGAUACUGGAUGGCUGGAGUACUGGAGAGGGUAGUGGAAUUCCAUGUGUAGCGGUAAAAUGCGUAGAUAUAUGGAGGAACACCGGUGGCGAAGGCGGCUACCUGGACAGAGACUGACGCUGAGGCACGAAAGCGUGGGGAGCAAAUAGGAUUAGAAACCCUAGUAGUCC